rnacentral:lncRNA from 7 species
AUUAUUUUGAGCAUCGAGGACUGCAAAGGGCUGAAAGUCACAGCUGUGAUUUGUUUUCCCCUUUCUUUCCACGUUGAGCAUCCUCGCUCACACAGCCGCCUGCAUCCUCAGCUACACCACACUCCCAACCCACAGGGAAUGAUACAGAAAGAUGCAGGGAAUAUUCCAGGGCUGGAAAUGAUGGCUCACACAGAGAUGGGCAGGGGGUGGCAGGUCCUCACAGCCCCCCCAGCUGACAUCUUCAGGGGGAGGUCGGGCACGGAAACAGCACAGCACGGCCAAAGUAUGCGGUGGUGCCGGCAGCCCAGGUUUUCAAGACGCAGAGUUAAGUGAAGCCUCCUGACUGCCUGCAUUAGGAGAAGCGGGGAGUCUUCCUGUGGGAGCUGGCAGUGCUGGGCAUUGGUCCCUGGGCUGGAGUGGAAGUGGGUUUUGAAGUCCUCACUACUGAUGAGGGAAGAAGUAAUGGUGGAAAACAGCAAGGAUCACCCAACGGCAUGGAAAGCCAAGCACCUCCCACCUCCAGACUUCAUCAAAUGCAGCACGUGGACCUUGAGUUUGCAUUCAGGCCUCUACGUCAGCCUGGAGACACGCAGAGCCAUGGGUCUCAGCUGCCUGGAUGAGGAUCUAAAGCAGCAUGGCCACGUUUAUGGGACCACCAGAGCGCAUUACAAGGGCAGAGCUUUGCACCAUCGUGAUGCAAGGAAGAGAUGAGCCCUUUGUGUGAACAGGGAUGCUGCAGACACGAGCAGACCCUGUGCUGCUCUCCAACUCCCUUGCACUACCACACACCAAUAUAAACGUGUUUUUUUUCC